rnacentral:rRNA from 1 species
GGAUUGUAGUCUGCAACCCGACCUACAUGAAGCCGGAAUCGCUAGUAAUCGCGGAUCAGAAUGCCGCGGUGAAUACGUUCCCGGGUCUUGUACACACCGCCCGUCACACCAUGGGAGUCGGGAGUGCCUGAAGUACGUGACCGCAAGGAGCGUCCUAGGGUAAGACCGGUGACUGGGGCUAAGUCGUAACAAGGUAAC